UAAAAAGUACAAGGAAGAAUUAAUUUUAAAAACAGAUUUGCAUUACAAGAAGAAGAGCUAGCUUGCAGGUUUAUAUUACAAAGAGGAGAAUAAUUUUUUAACAAUGACACUCAUUAUCAUGAGAUGAAAUGUACUCCAUAAUAUACUCUAUAUUUUUCUUUCUGACUUAUCACGUAUAUUAUUUGUGAUACGUACGAAUAAUAUUUAACCAACAAUAUUAGUUAUCCAGUUCUAUUAGCAGUCACAAGUUACGUGAUGUUUAUCGAAAUGGUUACUUGAUAUUUAGAAAAUUUGAUACAAUCCUUCUUUCUCACCUGUAUCAUCGUAUACCGCAAUAAGACUAAGUUUCUUUGUAGUUUUGCAUCGUAUUCGACGUAUCGUUUAAAUCACUAGACUUAUUACAGCUAUUAUUUUUUUCCAUGUAGUUCCCUUGCAAACUUGUUUAAUUAUUUAAUUGCGCUUUUUUAUCAUGUAUGCUGCAUGCAAAAUCUAUCUAUCUAGUUUGCGUGAUGAAAAUUUGAUGACAACAUUUAAAUCAAUUUUUUUUUUUCCUUCGUAGAUUUUCUCCAAUCUAGUAAUGUAAAUUAGAAUAAUCGUAGUAAAUUGAAAUUUUAGACGAUACUUCGAAUGACGAUUUAUUAUCUUUACACGUCCACAACUUUAAUGGAAUCGCAUUGAUUGAUAUUUAAUUUCAAAGCAGAAAUAUUUGUACGCAGAAUAUUAGAGCAUAAGCAAUAAUAUGUUUGUCACGAAAUAAUUUUGUGUCAUAUCGUACCGAUUCAUUAACUCUGUAAUUUGUUUGUGAUUAGAGGCUAAAAUUGCGUUUCUUGUCUAAGUUUGCCUUGCUUUUUUUCAUACGCUUUUGUUUAAUCCACGUCUUUGUAAAAAAAAAGAAAAGAAUUUCCUUAUCAGGAUUAUUUAAUUAUGCCAGUGUUUCCCAGUAUAUGCGACCUUUUAAUGUCACAAAAUAAUUUUUUGAUCGCCACGGUUAAUAUUGGAUCAUUCCUUGAGUGAUUGCAAUUGAAAGACUUGUUUAAUUCUUCGAUUUAAAUUUUGAAAAAUUUUACAAAAAUGCCCAACUUUUGAUGCUGGAUUAGAAGAACACGAUAGAUUUAAUAUAUUGUAUAUGUUAACAUCGCUUGUAUAUUAACAUUGACUUACUAAUUAUUAAUAUUCAAAAUGGGGGAAAAAGAUCAAUAGCAACCGGAAUUGGAAUUAUUCUUACUUGAUUUGUUUUGAUUUUGUUUCAAAAACUUACAACAAAUGCAAUUUUCUUGCAAGAUUAAAUUACUGAUGGAAUGAUCUGAUAGAAUUUAGCGAACGACUGAAUGUUUUUAGAAUAAAAUAGAAAAUUCUUCGUCGCGCGAAACAAACAGGAACAGGAAAAGUUUGCGAAAGGAAGAGGUUAUCCUUGAAAAUAAAGGCAAAUUGUGGGAAAUGUUAAUGCAAUAAUAACACAGAGUUUCAUCCUCACGGUCCUCUCAAUAUCACAUAAGAAAUGACUGCUCGUUAAAUUUUCACACGAUUACUCUGCCUCUUAUUUCUUUUCGCGUUUUCAUUCUGAGGGAAGAAGAUUGCAAUUUCAUCCUGUAAAAAAAAAAAAAAAGUACCAAAUUAGUGGUCUCAUCUUGUUUUCACGAUGCAAAAAAAGUGUUUCCCAAUCUUACACUUCGAUAUCAUCUCAAUAAUAUCUCGAUAGAUUUUUACGCCGUUUCAACGUUAUCAACAAUCGAAUGUUAUAUUUCGAAUAAAAGAGGGAUAAAACGUAGAUAAAAUUAUAUUUAACUUGGUUCUGAACAAAUCUUUACAUUACAGUUUACACAUAUGUGGGAAACACCGGUGUAAAAUCUUCUUCCAAGCUUUUAUUUAUUUUUUUUUUUGCUUCUUUUGUCCCACCCUGAUUACUCGAUACUUCUUUUAUAACUUUUCAAGUUUUCAGACGAGACGUUGGAACGAAGCGAAUGUAGCCUUGUUUCGCUCUUUCUUUCUUUUUUUUUUUUUUUUCACCAACAACAGUUCAAUUUUCUUUCGAUAAUCAAUCUUACAUUUGUUACACUCGCGCGAUAUGAUUAUUAAAAAAAUUAGCAAUCCCGUACGUGGAAUGGAAAUCGGUAUCGGGUGUCGAUUCUUCUUUUCGGUCGAGUCUUUUUUCUUUCUAGAGAAAAGAAAGAAACGAGCGCGCUAAUAAAGCGAGUGAAGCAAUUGCAAAGCCCCGAUGAGGACUCCGCGGGUGGGGACUACUACCAGCUGACAUAUCCUAACUAGCGACCACAACCCGCCGGCCCUUCUCUGUCGACUAGCGAAACCACACUAGAUCGCAGCGACUAAGUCGGCAUAGUGUUGAGAACACACGGACGUAAUUACACACUUAGGGACAGUAAUCAGGCAUAACGGGACGGACGGGACCUUUUUUAAAACAAGGUCUCUCGAACAGAAAAGAAAGAAAGGAAGAGAGAGAGAGAGAGGGAGAGAGAGGAAAUGGCGAACGAAUAGCGAUGGAAUAACGAGGAGUUUUAUCACGCGUGAAAAGUAUUCAAAUUUUCGGCGACGAAAUUGAUUCUUCCUUACACGUGAUUUUGAUCAAUGGGCGAGAGAGGAGACUGGUUUGAGAAGUUGAAAUUCUCGAGAAUCGUUUCUCUCGAAAUCUCUGCCGCGUUGCCACGGGAGACUAUCGCGUCCACUCGCGGACGGAUAUUGUCGGGAGAAAAGUUUUCGAAAUUUUGUUUCUCAAUCGGUGAUUGUAUUCGCAUCACACGGAAACAGGAUACGUACGGUCGUUCGGACAGGGGGAGGGAAAGAAAAAGAAAAGAAACGGUAGCACAAGCA